rnacentral:rRNA from 1 species
GAUGAACGCUGGCGGCGUGCCUAACACAUGCAAGUCGAGCGAUUCUCUUCGGAGAAGAGCGGCGGACGGGUGAGUAACGCGUGGGUAACCUGCCCUGUACACACGGAUAACAUACCGAAAGGUAUGCUAAUACGAGAUAAUAUGCUUUUAUCGCAUGGUAGAAGUAUCAAAGCUUUUGCGGUACAGGAUGGACCCGCGUCUGAUUAGCUAGUUGGUAAGGUAACGGCUUACCAAGGCGACGAUCAGGAGGCGACCUGAGAGGGUGAUCGGCCAAGCUGGAACUGAGAAACGGUCCCGACUCCUACGGGAGGCAGCAGUGGAGAAUAUUGGUCAAUGGGGGCAACCCUGACCCAGCGACGCCGCGUGAGGGACGAAGUCCUUCGGGAUGUAAACCUCUGUUGUGGGGGAAGAAGCGAGUGACGGUACCUCGCGAGGAAGCCCCGGCAAACUACGUGCCAGCCGCCGCAGUAA